AUGUGGCCAUGUUCCAGAAGUAUUCUCUCCUGACGUAUCGCCCACAUCUAUGGCAAGUUCCUCAACAUGGCCACAUAGCCCGAAAGACAUACAACAACCCUGUGAUCCCGGCCAUGAAAGCCUUUGACAACACAAAGCACCCCCGACAGAUGGCCAUCCAGCCUCUGCCUGAAAGCCUCCAAAGAAGGAGCCCCCACCACACUCUGGGGCAGAGACUUCCAGUGCCAAACAGCUCUCACAGUGAGGAAGUUCUUCCUGAUGUUCAGGUGGAAUCUCCUUUCCUGUAGUUUAAAGCCAUUGUUCUGCAUCUUAGUCUCCAGGGCAGCAGAAAACAAGCUUGCUCCCUCCUCCCUAUGACUUCCCCUCACAUAUUUAUACAUGGCUAUUAUGUCUCCUCUCAGCCUUCUCUUCUGCAGGCUAAACAUGCCCAGCUCUUUUAGCCACUCCUCAUAGAGCUUGUUCUCCAUACCCUUUAUCACUUUAGUUGCCCUCCUCUGGACACAUUCUAGCUUGUCAACAUCUCCCUUAUGCCCACCUCCUUCUUGCCUUUCUGUUGGCAGGCAAAACCUUGUUUAUUCUAACAGGCUAUUCAAAGUCUUUAAAGUACUGACUAGGAGAUGCUAUAUUGUUGUAAACAGAACUGUUAUUAAUAGCUUUUUAACCUUUUAAGUUACAUUUCAUUCUUUUAACUGGAAGUGUGAAUUGGUUUUUUGUGAUGAAUAGUUUAAUUGCAUUGUAAUGUUAACUUUGUGUAUGUUUUUAGUUGCAUUGUUCUUUUAAAUAGUUUUGUCCUUUAAGUUCAAAAUUUUCCCAGUUUUGGGAGAGAAGUUGAAUAAGAAUGGCAACAACAUCAGCAGCCACCUAUUGCUGAUUGGUUAUGAGUUAUGGGUGGCUUUAAUAUGGCAUUACAUUCAUUGUUCUUAAACUUUCCAAGCCCUCCUUCUUACAGAGGCAAACAGAUGGGAAGUUCAAAACCAACAGACAAGGAGCUGGCAUUUCUGCCCACAGCAUCUGCUGUCUAAAGCAAUUGUUUCAUUCUUCCUGUUGAUAGGGCUGCCCUCCCACAAGGUAUGAACACACUGGGUAGCUAUGGAUAAGCUACCAAACAUGAGCAGUUUUUACCCACUACAAAAGGCAAUAGAUUAAAUCUAGUUGUGAAUCUCAAAUUGAGUUUACCAAUUGAAUCAGUGGAACUUGCAGAAGUGUUGGCUUAUCUUUAGUAAUUAUAUCAACAGAUCUAGAGCAGCUGAAUUUAUAGCCGAAUGGGCAAACUCUCCCACAUCUCUUUGGUGAUGAUAAAUGUGACCUGAGAGGUUAUUGCUUGCUCUGAGCCUUUGAGGUAGGUUGUGAAACUAAAUAAAUUAUCUAGAGCUAACCACACAGCCCAUAAUAUCCGAGUUCCAGGGAAGAUGACUUCAUGUAAACCUAAGCCUCCUACCAGUAUGGUGAUGACACACAUUAACCUUCACAUUAUCCUGGGAUAAUGAACCACUUUCAGGUUUCAUUGUUUCCGAUAGAAACAAUCUAGUAACUAUAGGUCAGACCUAAGUGUCACAGUAUGCAACUUUCUGUGCUAAAUUGCAUUGUCUCGGAAGAUAAUGUGUGUCACCAGAAGAAAUAUCACACUACUUUGUAUAAAAGUGCUCUGCUCUGCCCAGUUUAAAUGGGAGAUUGCUAUAAUUUUUGCUCCCUCCUCUCUUUACAGUGACUAGACUGCCAAAUAUAGCACAUGAGGGGAAAAGAAAGCUGACAUUAUCCAUUCUUGGCACCAGAUCAUAGUGUUAAAAUACAUGGGUUUACAAGAGGUAUCUGCAGUCUCUAAGAGCUAUGCUAUCCAGUUGUUUAGCCUUUCAGUCUCACAACCACAGCCAAACAUAAUUACACUGAUGACUUAGAAGAUUAUUUAAAUUAGUUUUUUUCCUUUAGGAUCAUUAUGUAACAAAUUAUGAUUUGCUAUAGUCAUGAGAAAUACGCAUUAUUUCCAGCUUUGCCAAAAGUGAAGAGGAUCCCCAUUUUGAUGUUAAAUUUCAAACAUAUGAGGGUUGUUGCUGUUUAUUUGUUCAGUCACUUCCAACCAGAGCUCCCUGUCGGCCAUCGCAACCCCCAGCUCCUUCCAGGUCAAGUCAGCCACUUCUAGGAUACCAUCAAUCGACCUUGCCCUUGGCUGGCCCCUCUUUUUUCAUUCCAUUUUUCCCUAGCAUCAUUAUCUUCUCCAAGCUUUCUUGUCUUCUCAUUGUGUGGCCAAAAUACUUCAUCUUUGCCUCUAAUAUCCUUCCCUCCAGUGAGCAGUCAGGCUUUAUUUCCUGGAGUAUGGGCUGGUUGGAUCUUCUUGUGGUCCAAGGCACUUUCAACAUUUUCCUCCAACACCACAGUUCAAAUAUGAGGGUUUAUACACACAAAUCCUAUGUAGACUGGUAACUUCAAUGGACAGGACUAGGUUAUCCAUUGAAUAAUUUAACAGCUUACUAUUGAUCUGCUCUCUCUAGAUUAAUUAUGUGGUGCUCAAGACUAUACAGAUUCCCAGCAUUCCUCAGCGUUGGUCGUGCUGGCCAUGGCUGCAGCAAGUUGCACCCAAAAGUGGCACAUGGUUCUUUAGAAGUUGCUCAUACCUGAUCUAUGGUGAUGAGGACAAAAAUGGCUUGUCCACUCCAGUGUUUUGUAAGAAUGGAGAGGAGAGGGAAACUUCAUUAAACUACAAACUAUUUUGGUGAUGAUGUUUGAAUUGUGGAGAACUCCUUUCCAUUUCAGACUAGAACAGAUUCACUGCCUCACUUACUUAAAAGCCAACAAACUACACUGUUUAUCAAAUUCACAAAGUAAUAUAGGCCUCCAUUUCAGAUAUUGAUUUCUUUAAUGAUAAAAACAAAUUAUGUCCAAAGUAAAGUAAGGACAGGCUAAGAAAGUUGCAACACUAGCUUGAAUGAACCCUGAUUUAGCCCAAAUUAAAUCUUUAGAAAGAUGUUACAGGUAUUUCAUGAAAGUUCAUCUCCCAAUCUAAUUUUCCUCCCCAAUGCACAUCUCUUUCCCCUAACUAAAGCAUUUUGUCUUUGUAAAGAAGAUGCCCUACCAACCAGCUGACAGGAAUAAUUACAAUUUAUGUCUUUAGGUAUAAAGUACUGGUAGAGAAAUGUCAAUGUAAAUGAGAUGAUGUAAUGAGAGGCUGUAAAUGACCUUGAUAAUGCUUGCAUACCUACACUGAUGCUGGGUGCAACUUUCAAAGGACAUUUAUUCAAAACCUUUAUAGAAGAGACCACUCCCAGGCCCAGAAAAUGAACAACAAAGGAUCACACAACUGGACCCACUGAGUUCUAGAAGGUCAGAAAAUUGCAAGGAUAAGAAGUCCUGUGUUCUACUAUCCAUGUUAUCCAGGAACCAGGUGAGCUUCUCGAUUCAUGUCAGUCACAGGUAUCCAGCAGGUGAAGGGAUAGAAGCAAUAGCAUGGACAUUAGCUGGUCCAGAAGUCAUUCAGAAAAACAUUAGUCCAGAUGAACUAAAUAAUCAAGAAGUAAAACAAAGUUGUAAAUUGUAGUCAGUCCAAGCUCAGGAAAAUAUGAACACUGAAAAGUACGGCUAGUUGCCAAGAAAAAAGGGGUUGAAACUAGCAACAAAGCUUAUAGGGAGUGAUUGUGAGAUUUAUGAAUAGCUUUUUCGAGCCACCAGGUGUCUUGUUAGGUUGGUUUCUCAUGCUCAAUAACCAUUGGGAACAACACAAUAUCUCUUUGCUGCUUGAUGAAUUGUGGCAAUGGUCUUUAAUGUUUGCAACCUUCUGCUGGUGAGUAGAGCACCCAUCAGCCUGAACCCCCAGCUCCUUAAACUCAAAGAGGACAUUGUUACCAGGAUCUACAGAUUUCUGGCAAUCUCCUCCUUUCUUUGUCCCCCUUCUACUCUGCCAUAUAAUCCAGAUUAUCAAAGUAGAUAAUCCACAUUAUCUGCUUUGAACUGGAUUAUGUGAGUCUACACUGCCAUAUAAUCUAGUGUAGAUAAUCUGGAUUUUAUAUGGCAGUAUAGAAUCGGCCUCAGUGAAAUUCAUUAUGAACUCACCCUCUGACUCCAGUAUCUAUGUCUUAAGUGAUCAUGUAGUAAUUGAUUGGAAGAAACAGGCGUG
rnacentral:lncRNA from 1 species